UCCGGUGUGGCGCAAUGGUAGCGCAUGCGGCUGUUAACCGCAGGGUUACUGGUUCGAGUCCAGUCGCCGGAGCCA
rnacentral:tRNA from 1 species